rnacentral:lncRNA from 1 species
CCCCGGGGGAACGCCACGUCGAGGGGGCGGCCGGUGCGGGACCCCCGGCCCCUUCCAGAGAGGGGCACCGGGGGGGGUGCGGAGGGCUCCGGGAGGGCGUUUGGGGUUAUUUUUAGGGGGGGACAGAGCGGGGCCACGCGUUUCUUUAGGAGAGGGAGGCGGAGAAGCGGCCGCUGCCCCCCGGCACCCCCCGGUUCUGCCUUCGCCCCCCGGUUCGGGGGGCGGCCGUGGGGGGGCCGCGGGAGGAGGGAGCCGGCUGCCGAGGCGCGCAGCAUCUCCCCGGGCAGAGAGGGGCUUGUGCCGCCUCUCCAGGAGCCGAGAAAUGGGCAUUUUAUAGGUGACGUACGGGCUUACGUGGGAAUCCGUGCCCGGCACCGCGCUCCCGGCGCCUUUUCUCCUGACACGACACUUCCCCGCAGCUCGCACCCCCCUUGGCAGCCUGGGGGGAGCGGGAGGGGGGCAGCAAUAGGGAAAAGAAAAGCAGCCCCCUCUUUUUCCUGCUCGGGAGACCAGCCCCGGAGCUCCGAAAGGGCGAGCCGGCGGGGGAGGAGGCUGGCACCCGAGGUUUCGACUCUGGGUGAGCAAAAGGAUUUCUUACACUCCCCGGGAAGAGGAGAAGACGCUUUUUAUGGUGUUACUUAAUUGCUUUUAAAAUAAAAUACUACGGAAUUUGGCA